UCGAGGAUCUUCGGCAAUGAGCGCAAGCUUGACCGAGCGACACCGCGUGGAUGAUGAAGGCCUUCGGGUUGUAAAAUCCUGUCGAGGGGGAUAAAGCCGCAAGGUUGAUAGAUCCCUGGAGGAAGGGCGGGCUAAGUUCGUGCCAGCAGCCGCGGUAAGACGAACUGCCCUAACGUUGUUCGGAAUCACUGGGCAUAAAGGGCGCGUAGGCGGCGAAUCAAGUCAGGGGUGAAAUCCGGCAGCUCAACUGUCGAAGUGCCUUUGAUACUGAUUUGCUCGAGGGAGGUAGGGGUCUGUGGAACUUCUGGUGGAGCGGUGAAAUGCGUUGAUAUCAGAAGGAACGCCGGUGGCGAAAGCGACGGACUGGACCUUUUCUGACGCUGAGGCGCGAAAGCUAGGGGAGCAAACGG
rnacentral:rRNA from 1 species